rnacentral:misc_RNA from 1 species
AAGUCGUAACAAGGUUUCCGUAGGUGAACCUGCGGAAGGAUCAUUACCUAGAGUUUGUAGACUUCGGUCUGCUAACCUCUUACCCAUGUCUUUUGAGUACCUUCGUUUCCUCGGCGGUCCGCCCGCCGAUUGGACAACAUUCAAACCCCUUUGCAGUUUGCCAGUCAGCCGUCUGAAAAAACAUAAUAGUUCAA